UACGUAGGGGGCUAGCGUUGUCCGGAUUUAUUGGGCGUAAAGAGCGCGUAGGCGGCCGUGUAAGUCCGACGUGAAAUCUGGAGGCUCAACCUCCAGCGGUCGUUGGAAACUACCCGGCUAGAGUCCGGAAGAGGAGAGUGGAAUUCCUGGUGUAGCGGUGAAAUGCGCAGAUAUCAGGAAGAACACCGAUGGCGAAAGCAGCUCUCUGGGACGGUACUGACGCUGAGGCGCGAAAGCGUGGGGAGCGAACAGG
rnacentral:rRNA from 1 species